GACGAACGCUGGCGGCGUGCUUAACACAUGCAAGUCGAACGGAAAGGCCUCUUUCGGGGGGUACUCGAGUGGCGAACGGGUGAGUAACACGUGAGUAACCUGCCCUUGACUUUGGGAUAACUUCAGGAAACUGGGGCUAAUACCGGAUAGGAGCUCCUGCUGCAUGGUGGGGGUUGGAAAGUUUCGGCGGUUGGGGAUGGACUCGCGGCUUAUCAGCUUGUUGGUGGGGUAGUGGCUUACCAAGGCUUUGACGGGUAGCCGGCCUGAGAGGGUGACCGGCCACAUUGGGACUGAGAUACGGCCCAGACUCCUACGGGAGGCAGCAGUGGGGAAUAUUGCAAAAGGGGUGGAAGCCUGAUGCAGCAACGCCGGGUGGGGGAUGACGGCCUUCGGGUUGUAAACCGCUUUCGCUCAUGACGAAGCUUUGGGUGACGGUGGUGGGUAAAGAAGCACCGGCUAACUACGU
rnacentral:rRNA from 1 species